UACAGGGGGUGCAAACGUUGCUCGGAAUUAUUGGGCGUAAAGCGCGCGUAGGCGGCCACUUAAGUCGGAUGUGAAAGCCCCUGGCUCAACUGGGGAAGUGCACCCGAAACUGAAUGGCUUGAAUACAAAAGAGGGCCGCGGAAUUCCCGGUGUAGAGGUGAAAUUCGUAGAUAUUCGCAAGAACACCAGUGGCGAAGGCGGCUCACUGGCCCGGUACUGACGCUGAGGUGCGAAAGCGUGGGGAGCGAACAGG
rnacentral:rRNA from 1 species